AUACGGAGGGUGCAAGCGUUAUUCGGAAUCACUGGGCGUAAAGGACGCGUAGGCGGGUUGGCAAGUCAGAUGUGAAAUCCUGCAGCUUAACUGUAGAACUGCAUUUGAAACUGCUAACCUAGAGUAUGGGAGGGGGAGAUGGAAUUGGUGGUGUAGGGGUAAAAUCCGUAGAUAUCACUAGGAAUACCGAAAGCGAAGGCGAUCUCCUGGAACAUAACUGACGCUAAGGCGUGAAAGCGUGGGGAGCAAACAGGAUUAGAAACCCUAGUAGUCC
rnacentral:rRNA from 1 species